CAGGCGAUGGGAGGUCGGCGGGGGCGGGGCCCGCACAGUCCCAGCCCCCAUGUGGGCGGAGCCUUCUUCCCGGGCCUAUGUCGCGGCAGAGGCUGGCGGGCUUUGUGCGCAGGCGCUUGUGCCCUCGCGGGGCUGCCCGUGCGCUUCGCCUGUGGGGUCGUGCUGGGGCAGCGGGUAUGCUAUUCGAAGAACAGGUUUCCAUGCUCUCAGAGGAGCAUCAGAAAAUGAACAAACCCCAGAAGUCCAGAAAUU